AAAGGGAACACAUCGUUUCGUAGGUUUACGUUACCUACGCGUUGCUUUCUUCCCAAUACGUUAGCUUUUUUAAAGCAUUUUAUAACAAACCGGGGGCCCAACACAAAGACAUAACAUACAAAUAUCACGCACUCCUGCUGUUCCUGCUGCUGCUGCUGCUGCUGCUGCUGCUGCUGCUGUAUCAGCCAUUAACUGCCGAUCAUUAGGCUUUUAAGGUCCAAAUUCUUGUGUCAGAUCCCUGCUGUCACCAUCAUCCUGUGCAGAAAACCUCCUCACCUCUCUCAAGCUCUCAACAACCAUAGAGGCUGCUACCAUCCUCCCCCUCAUAGACUUCCUCCUCUCUCUAUUCAGGUUCUGAUAUCCCAUGCCAAAUAGCCCCUUUCCCCCAACGUCGAUCCAAAUGCCUACUUUGCUCAGCCCUAAAUUUUUUAUUGAAUUAUUUAAAAAGGAAGAAGGGAUGGAAACAGGCUACAUGCAAUUUCUGCUAAAGAAUUUUUAAUGAUAAUCUCUUCAAUUUUUGACAUUCAUCAUCCACAAGAAACUUUAUUCAUGGAUAGGUGGAUGAAAAUUUUAAAGUUUUUUAUAAACAUUCUAAAAUGAACCUCAAUUG